GAAGCUACUCCGUCCUCUCCUGGGUCUUUCACUCUCCCGCGCGCGCGACCACAGCAAUUGGGGAAGCGCCAUGAGGCUCUCCGCCAUAGGCUGCCACGAAAGGCGGUGAGAUCCACGAUGUCGCCGCCCUUCGUGGUGGCUCGUAUAGGCGAGAUCUUCAGCGGUGGGAGCGUCCGUGUCGUUUUGAAGGAGUUGGUCGUCGCGGGAUCUCCAACCGUGCAGGCGAUGAGGGCUGCAAGUGGCGAUUUGAGUAGCCUGUGCGGUUGCUUCGACGACUUUGCCUGCACAUGGUUACAAGGUGAAGCCUAUCUUCAAGAGUAGGCGGAUAUAAGUUGUGGGCUCCCAGCUCAAAAAGAUGGGCAGUCAUGGAACUCUGGGAUCUGAAUCCAAAUCUUGACUCUCGGUGCAUCACAAGUGCAUGCUAGCUCCUGUAUGUCAUUGCGUUUGAUUCUUGUCGUUUUGUUUUCACUUAAAACUAUUGUUGGUCUAAAGCUGUGUACAAUUGAAUCAAAAAUUUUCCUUGGCUUUGUAAUCUCUCAUGCUGGAAAAGUAAAUAUGGACAGUUUGGGCUUUCGGCCAGUGGCCUAGGGCCAUUAAGUUA